CUGUAACUUCCUCGAGGGUGGGACUAAUUAAGAAUGGCGUCAAAGAGAUAGGGUAAACAAACAAUAUGAAUAGAAACCAAACGGUGUUUUUUGUUGUUGUUGUUGUUUGUGUGUCACGUUACUUUAGAGUGCUUAAGCCUAAAGAUAGAUGAUAUAUAUAUCGUUUUAUUAACAUGUAAAACAGGAAAGUAAACCUUGCACUAUUGGUAUGGACGCCAUUAGCACGCAGUGGACUGGUGCUAGCUUAAUAGCUAUCGUCCUCACCAGCUUGGUUGAGAAGGGACUGCUUGAGAAACAGAUUCUUCACAGAGUUUCUGCGUGAGUAUGCUUGUUUCGGAUGCUGCUGCAGUUGUGGAGGACGGACUCGCGGCCAUGAGAGGAGUCACACGCACGUACACAGAGCCUCGCCAGAGUUUGACGAACUGUUGGAGAAAAGUUUUCUCAGUUUCCAACGAACACCGUCUUGAGGACCUCACAGAGUCCCCAGGACCCCAGUUUGGCAAGCGUGUGUGUAGGAUGUGCUGAGUGCCCCUAAAUCCCAUUGGGAUGCAGGCUAUUAUGCAACACUCAAAGCUGCUCAUGAAUGCCAAUUACGUCCUCGAACCCAAGAGGGGAAGGUGGAGAAAGAUCAAGUAGCAAAGUAAGAUUAAACUGCAUGUUCAUGAAGAUGGAGCUGUAAAUUCACAACUGUGAUUGCAUUAGAAAAAAAAAACUAUUAUUUUUACUUUGUGUGAUUUAUCUUCAGUUUGUUCCCAUUCAAUAUCCCAAAUGACUGACUGGAAAU